CCUACGGGAGGCAGCAGUGGGGAAUAUUGCACACUGGGGGAAACCCUGAUGCAGCGACGCCGCGUGAGUGAAGCAGUAUUUCGGUAUGUAAAGCUCUAUCAGCAGGGAAGAAAUAGCGACCUUUGGGUCGCCAGACGGUACCUGACUAAGAAGCCCCGGCUAACUACGUGCCAGCAGCCGCAGUAAUACGUAGGGGGCAAGCGUUAUCCGGAUUUACUGGGUGUAAAGGGAGCGUAGACGGCAGCACAAGUCUGAAGUGAAAUGCCGGGGCUUAACCCCGGAACUGUUUUGGAAACUGUGCAGCUAGAGUGCAGGAGAGGUAAGUGGAAUUCCUAGUGUAGCGGUGAAAUGCGUAGAUAUUAGGAGGAACACCAGUGGCGAAGGCGGCUUACUGGACUGUAACUGACGUUGAGGCUCGAAAGCGUGGGGAGCAAACAGGAUUAGAUACCCCAGUAGUC
rnacentral:rRNA from 1 species